rnacentral:misc_RNA from 1 species
AUAAUAAUGUGAAGAGUGGGCAAUGGAUGAAGUUUCCUGUUGGUUUUUAGUAAGAUAGGCCAAUCUUUUGGACAGUGUCAAAGCCAUUUACUUUUACAGACUGAAAACACAGAUUUGGUGAGGAUGUAGGUAGAUGGAACAUCAAUGUACUCCAGAACAUCUUUCCUUUUAUAUACUCAUCUCCAUAUAAAAAUUUAUCUUCAGUUCAUUCAUAAGAGAAGUAACUUUGAGCCUCAUAGCAUGUAUUCUCCUGUGAAAUUAUCUUAACGAGGAUAAGUUGCCUGUAUAUAUUCCACAAUAUCUGCACUUUCAAACAUCUG